AAUUGAACAUGAACUCAAAAGCCAUCCCAACUCAAAUUACAAAACUACUCAAAUUACAAAACUUGUGCUAGAAAUAUUCGUCUCCUAUUGGGUUAUAUGGCAAUUGUGCUACUUGUUUUGAUUCAUGUUCUCAUCUAUGGUGUGUUACUUCUGAGUUUAUGGGUCUACAUGGUUAUACGAGUAGCACGCAAUCCAUAUCAAGACUUAUAUCUAUUAGUAGGUGAAGAUUUGCAGCACUCAAAGGAGCUAGCUGAAGAUGCAAUCCAAAGGCUAUUUGGCAGGCUGGAGUGAGCCACGGAAUCAAUCGUCUAGUUAGGUAUAUCAUUCUAGUAAAUCUGAGUUGUCUUUACAAUUUUAGAUCUCUAUAUAAAAUGUAUGAUUUUAGCAGUAAUUUUAAUGGUUUAAUUGUGAUAGUUUAGUCUAUAUUAAUGUAACUGAGUUGUAGAAAUAAUACUUAGUUGUUGGAUUUUGAAAGGGUUUUCAUUGAAAUUUUGAAAUUUAUUUAUGUAUUUCAUGAUUGAACAUGUUAGAAUAUUUGUUUAUUGCCUUUUUAAAUCUCCCACUCCCAUUUGUAAUUUUUGAUGCAAAGAGAGGUUUUGAUUUGUGUUAUUUGUAGAGGAAGAGAUAGGGAGAGGGAGAGAAUUUUUUAUUAAUAAUUUUUUUAUCAGCAUUAAGUCCAAUUUUGAAAUAUUUUAUUACAGUAUCUGAGAUGUAGAAAUAAUACAAAUACUCAUCUCUCUCAUCAUAGCAAAAUACCCAUCUCAUUCCCAGGAUGCUUUUGAGAUUAGCAUUGGCUAUUGAAUCUAUACUCAAAGCUUGUAAAUCAAAUUGUGUUGAUCUUAGUCCCAAGCUUCAGAUGGUUUCUUGACCUGCAUAUUUAAAUGGGUAGCUUGGAACUCAUAUCAAGAUCUUUACCAUUUGCUACUCCAAGCAUUUAAUGAGUUGAAGAGGCUCUCAAGAAAUGCAUUUGAAGCACUGAGGAGGGAGGCCAAUUUGAGGUGGGGAAACAGGAACUGAAUCAUCAAUCUUCUUCAUCUGUUAAAUAUUGUUUAGUCUUAAUUAUUGCUUAUUCAUUAAUAUUAUGUAAAUGACCUUGUUCAUAUUCCUUGCUGCUACUCUGACCAAAUUGGUGAUUAAUUUCUUUGUAUUUCUUGCCCAGCACUGUCCAUGGAUUCAACAAAGUUAAGCUUCUUGUUGUAACUUAAAGCUUGCUUGCUAUCAGUUCAGAUAUCUUGGGUCUUCGAUUGUACCAGGGUAAUUAGCAAAGCUGCUGGUUCAUAGUUAUUUUCUCUUGAAUCUUAGGUUUGGAUCUAUUCAGAAUCAUAGUUGUGUUGUGCAGUAGUUUUUUUGGGUCUUUGGUUAUGCAGCUUGAGUGGGAGCUUCUGCUACUAUUUAUAUUUUGGUUUGGUUUGGUUAUUUUUUAUUAUUAUUUUUUAAUUCUGAUUCUAUGCUUAUGGAAAUUUGCUCAGUGAGUGAAUCCCCUUGUUUAUAUACUGCCUGAUCUGUUUGUAGAGAUUUUUUUUUGGCAGAGAUUUUUUUUUUCUUUUUUCUAAUUAUAUGUCCUUUCUAAAUUCUGAAGCUAUUUGAUGCAUUUCCUUGUAUUUAUAGUACAUUGAACUACAUUGAUUUUAUGGAAAAUCCGAAGUUUGACUUAUUAUGCUUUAGAAAGAAUGAGGGUAACUUGGGUUAAAAUUUUUUAUUAUGAUUAUGCACGUCAGUUUAAUAGUACAAUGUCCAGCCUUGUUGAACAUACACUUUUGGUGUUCCUCCUGGCUCCUGUCAGGUAUUCUUCUAUGUAAACCUAUACAAUCCGUACAUGUAUAUGGGUUAACUGAUUGAAGGAACUCUAAGCUCAAAGAAAUGGCCGAGUCUAAAAUUUUGCUCAAAGUUGGCUCCUUUGAUUAAUACCUCCAGAUGAAUUGUGUGAGUUGGAGUGGAGGUUCUUGGAUUGCAUUUUACCUUAUUCAUCAAAUGAGGAUUUGUAUUUGUGUUCUUCUCUCUGUGUGUGGAUUAGUGUAGGAGUGUUGAGUUUUACUUUUGCUUCUUGAUAUUUGUGUUUGUGUUCGCUGGUUGGGCUUCUUAAGUCCUUUCAUUCCAAACACUUGAGAUGUAGAUAAAGCACUGGGAGAGGAACUGAUUAAAUUGUGGAAAUAAUGAAGGUAAGAUCUCCGGGAAUCUGCUGUUUUCUGAAAUUCUAUAAAUAAGUGAUGAGUUCUUUCAAAUUUAUGUGGUUCAGCUGAAUUGCCAUUGCAGUCUAAUGAAAAAAAAAUUUUGUUCUUUUGGUGCUUGUUUCCUUCUUUAGGCCUAUUAAGACAGUUGCCAUGAUUAGCUUUCCAUUAUUAAGAGUUGGUACAUGCAUUGUAGAUGGUAGUCUUGCUUUUUGAUUGAUAAUUUACCUGCUAAAGUCGUUGGUUAUAAAUUUUCCCCAAAAAGGUUUUAGUAUUGAAUUGCAUUUUGCAGAGCCAAUGCACAACAGCCGAAGCUUUUUGUUGGGAUGAUCCUCAUUCUCAUCUUUGCUGAAGCAUUGGCCCUCUAUGGCCUCAUUGUUGGCAUCAUCCUCUCCUCCCGAGCUGGUCAAUCAAGAGCUGACUAAAAGAGGUCCUUUUGGUAGUUGUGUCUGUUUUGAAUCUCUUGAUUCAUUGAGAAAUAUUCUAUAUUAGUUAAGAGUGGGAAAUUUUUUACCGAAAGGCCUCCAGUGUGAUUUCUGCCAAAUGAAUUGGUUCAGUCGUCAGUGCUAUUGCUGUAGACUGUAGUGAACUGCAAGGUUAGGUAUUAGUUCUUCCCUUAAAUUAUAAGCUGUGAUUGUUUCAUUAGUCAUGUUGUAUUUUGUGGAUUUAUUUGAAGUGCUUGUAGGAAUAUUGGCCCAUAUUUUCUCCCUAAUGGGUUUUGCGUGAGAUAAAAAUUGUGAAGCAACGGUCCUUUUAUUAACUGUUGGUUAGUUGAUGGUAACAAGUAUAA
rnacentral:misc_RNA from 1 species